CCAUUUUUGACACACACGAGAAACUGUCUUGAGUGUGAAAAAAAACCCAGCAGCGUUGCAGUUCUUGACACAAACCGGUGUGCCUGGCACCUACAACCAUCCGUUCAAAGGCACUUAAAUCUUUUGUCCUGUCCGUUCACCUUCUGAAUGGCACACAGACACAAUCCAUGUCUCAGUUGUCUCAAGGCUUAAAAAUCCUCCUUUAACCAUGUCUCCUCCCCUUUAACCAGGUCUCCUCCCCUUUAACCAGGUCUCCUCCCCUUUAACCAGGUCUCCUCCCCUUUAACCAGGUCUCCUCCCCUUUAACCAGGUCUCCUCCCCUUUAACCAGGUCUCCUCCCCUUUAACCAGGUCUCCUCCCCUUUAACCAGGUCUCCUCCCCUUUAACCAGGUCUCCUCCCCUUUAACCAGGUCUCCUCCCCUUUAACCCCCGUCUCCUCCCCCUUCAUCUACACUGAUUGAAGUGGAUUUAACAGGUGACAUCAUUAAGGGAUCACAGCUUUCAUUUGGAUUCACCUGGUCAGUCUGUCAGAGAAAGAGCAGGUGUACUUAAUGUUUUGUCCACUCAGUUUAUUUCACAUUCCUGUGUAGCUUUAUUUUCUCGACAUAAAACUCAUCUCUCACUUUUUCCCCUCCCUUCCUCUCGUUUACUUUCAC